rnacentral:rRNA from 1 species
GAUCCUGGCUCAGAAUCAACGCUGGCGGCGUGCCUAACACAUGCAAGUCGCACGAGAAAGGGUAGCAAUACCUGAGUAAAGUGGCGCACGGGUGAGUAACACGUGAAUUAUCUACCUCCGAGUGGGGAAUAACUGAGAGAAAUCUUAGCUAAUACCGCAUAACACUUACGAGUCAAAGCAGCAAUGCGCUUGGAGAGGAGUUCGCGGCCGAUUAGUUAGUUGGCGGGGUAAUGGCCCACCAAGACGAUGAUCGGUAUCCGGCCUGAGAGGGCGCACGGACACACUGGAACUGAAACACGGUCCAGACUCCUACGGGAGGCAGCAG